rnacentral:lncRNA from 1 species
CAUUAAACUGAGAAGAACCACUGAGGAAAGCAUGCCACAGUCUUUCCCAAAAUCCCUGUGUCUUAAGGAACAACCAAGAAGUUAACUGGUCAGGGAAAAGAUUUCUUUUGGAACACAGGAGCCAUCGCUGUGUGCGGAAAUCCAUGACCUGGCCAUGACUUCUACAACCCGGAGGACUUGCCUGGCAUUACCGAAAAGCACAGGGGAAAGAUUCUGUGGCAGGUGCCGCAUUUCAUCCAGCUCACUCCGUGCUAGUUCCUAAGACAUCUUAAUUCUUACACAUAUGCAUAAUCGUGAUAUUUUGCCAUGAAUAACAAUAUAUUUCACAAUUAUCAACCAUUUUAAUUUUUAGCUUUCUAACCUCGGACUACUAUAAUAAAAAGAAAUAAUAAAUCCAAAAGUAGUAGUGGAGAAUGAUGGGAGUUGUGAUCCAUACCUCCGUGUGCAUAAUGGUUGUACCUGCUCCAGGAAGGCGCUGGAUCCUCCCAACUCCAUGGGCUGUUCCAGCCACCGUGUCAACAUGCCUUGGUCCAUAGCUCUGGAAGGCACACACCAAGCAGGACCAGUGAACAGAAGAUGAGAAGGGAAGAGAUUAGGACACAAACAACAGACAGAAGGUGACCACAGGAGGACACAGUGAGAAGCUGGCCAUCUGCAAGCCAAGGAGAGAGACCUCAGGAGAAACCAAACCUGCCAGCACCUUAAUCUUAGACUUCUAGCCCUCAGAACGGUGAGGAAAUAAAUCUCUGUUGUUCAUGCCAAAUGUUCCUCACCCCCCAAGAAGGAAACCCUGUACGCAUCAAGCAGUCAUUCCUCAUUCUCCUCUCCCCCAGCCCCUGGAGACCUUUCAUCUGCUUUCUGUCUCUAUAGAUUUGCCUGUACUAGACAUUUCAUAUGACUGGAAGCAUAUAAUAUGUGGUCUUUUGUGUUUGACUUGUUUUACUUAGUCUAAUGUUUUCAAGGUUCGCCAUGUUGUAACAUGUACACUUUACACAAUUUUAAGCCUAAUAUUCUUUAAGCCAUAUAUUCAAAAUAAACAGCUUACAAAAAUGAU